rnacentral:tRNA from 1 species
GGCCCCGUAGCUCAGCAGGAUAGAGCAGCGGUUUCCUAAACCGGAGGUCGGGUGUUCGAGUCACCCCGGGGUCGCCA